rnacentral:tRNA from 1 species
GCGCCCGUAGCUCAGUUGGAUAGAGCGACGGAUUGCGGAUCCGUAGGUCGGAGGUUCAAAUCCUCUCGGGCGUGCCA